CGCCCCCCCUAAUUUUGCAAGGCGACCGAUUCUCUUCGGAGAAGAGCGGCGGACGGGUGAUUAACGCGUGGGUAACCUGCCCUGUACACACGGAUAACAUAUCGAAAGGUAUGCUAAUACGGGAUAAUGUACUUUUGUCGCAUGGCAAGAGUAUCAAAGCUCCGGCGGUACAGGAUGGACCCGCGUCUGAUUAGCUAGUUGGAGAGGUAAUGGCUCACCAAGGCGACGAUCAGUAGCCGACCUGAGAGGGUGAUCGGCCACAUUGGAACUGAGACACGGUCCAAACUCCUACGGGAGGCAGCAGUGGGGAAUAUUGCGCAAUGGAGGAAACUCUGACGCAGCAACGCCGCGUGAAUGAUGAAGGCCUUAGGGUUGUAAAGUUCUGUCUUCUGGGACGAUAAUGACGGUACCAGAGGAGGAAGCCACGGCUAACUACGUGCCAGCAGCCGCGGUAAUACGUAGGGGGCUAGCGUUAUCCGGAUUUACUGGGCGUAAAGGGUGCGUAGGCGGUCUUUUAAGUCAGGAGUGAAAGGCUACGGCUCAACCGUAGUAAGCUCUUGAAACUGGAGACUUGA
rnacentral:rRNA from 1 species